UACGAAGGGGGCUAGCGUUGUUCGGAUUUACUGGGCGUAAAGCGCACGUAGGCGGAUCGUUAAGUCGGGGGUGAAAUCCUGGAGCUCAACUCCAGAACUGCCUUCGAUACUGGCGAUCUUGAGUCCGGAAGAGGUGAGUGGAACUCCUAGUGUAGAGGUGGAAUUCGUAGAUAUUAGGAAGAACACCAGUGGCGAAGGCGGCUCACUGGUCCGGUACUGACGCUGAGGUGCGAAAGCGUGGGGGGCAAACAGG
rnacentral:rRNA from 1 species